AGUUGAUAUACAUAAUAAAUUCCCUCAUUUUUGUUGGACUUGGAUUGAAAGAACUAAAAGAAGGAAGUGAGGUGUGGGUGAGGCAAGGCAACGUAUCAAAAUCAGACAAUCUAAUUGGUCCAACAUAUACCAUCUUAUCCAUAUUUCUACCAUUCCUCUAAAAUCCACCACCCACCAAGAUCAAUAAUCCUUGUUCUUACUUCUUGAUCACACCCAUCUACACAUCGUAGCAAUCAUCACUUAGCCACCCCAGAAUCUCCAAUUCCUGGUGGCGCAAUGGCAACUCAAGCUUCUCUCUUCACACCCACCACCCUCUCCACACUUAAAUCAAGCAACCAUGUGAUCGUGCCAUGGAAACAAUCCUCCUUUUUCUCAAUUUCUAGUGCUGCUAAGCCACAAAAAUACUCCAAGCCUCAAACAACCAUCAAGGCUAUUGUUGCAGAGGGAAAAACUGAGGCGGCUCCGGUGGGCUUUACACCACCAGAAUUGGACCCAAAUACCCCAUCGACAAUUUUUGGCGGCAGCACUGGUGGGUUGUUGAGGAAGGCUCAGGUGGAGGAGUUUUAUGUGAUCACUUGGCAGUCACCCAAGGAACAAAUAUUUGAAAUGCCCACUGGUGGUGCAGCUAUCAUGAGGCAAGGUCCUAACUUGCUUAAGCUGGCUAGGAAAGAGCAGUGCUUGGCUCUUGGGACUAGACUCAGGUCCAAAUACAAGAUUAAGUACCAGUUUUACAGGGUGUUCCCAAAUGGGGAAGUCCAAUAUUUGCAUCCUAAGGAUGGAGUGUAUCCUGAGAAGGUGAACCCAGGGCGUCAAGGUGUUGGCCAGAAUUUCAGGUCAAUCGGAAAGAAUGCGAGUCCAAUUGAGGUGAAGUUCACUGGGAAGCAAGUUUACGAUUUGUGAUGGAUCUGUGAUUUUAUGCGAUUAUUUUACUGUUGUUUGGUGUAAUUGUGUUCCUUUCUAAGAAGCUACAAGAGAAGCAAAACUUGUUUGUCAAGUACUUGAACAUAUAAGGGAACCGAUUCCUUUUGUACUAUGAAGCUGGUAUGGUAAAUUCCUUUCAAAUGGUUCAAUUAGUAUUCACUGGCAAUAAAUAUCAAUAUGGAGCUUCUAGUCAUGAUGAUUCAGUGAUUGUCUCAGUUGGCUAAAUACUAGUCGAUCUAUGAGGGUAAGUCCCUAAAGCCUUCCAAGUCUAGAAUUGCCAAGAUUCGGAAGGGCUUUUACUAGCUAACCCUCCCUGUAUGUGCAAUUUUCUUUUACAUUAAGAUUUGGAGAAGUAAUCAUUCAAAUAAUUGGAUUAUAG
rnacentral:misc_RNA from 1 species